AUUCCAUUGAUGCCCUUCUAGGGACCAUUAAUUUUAUCAAUACCCUUUAAAAAUUAAUAAUAUCACAAUUGCUAUUUUAUGCAAUUUGUAUAAUUAUAGAUUUAUUAAAAUAAGCAAAUAUAAAUUUUAUAACGAAAAAAACAUCAAACAAUAUAAAUCAAAUAAAUUGAAAUGUUGAAUAACAAAAUUAAAAUUUUAAAGAAUUUAGUAGAUUAGUCAAAACAGAGUAGCUCUUUACCAAACGGAAUUAAGUGUAUUCUUCAAAUUUCUUAUGGUG
rnacentral:lncRNA from 1 species